CCUUACGGCCAUACCAACCUGAAUGCGCCCGAUCUCGUCUGAUCUCGGAAGCUAAGCAGGGUCAGGCCUGAUUAGUACUUGGAUGGGACACCGCCUGGGACUACCAGGUGCUGUAAGCU
rnacentral:rRNA from 1 species